rnacentral:rRNA from 1 species
AGCCUGAACGCUGGCGGCGUGGCUAAGACAUGCAAGUCGAACGGGUGUAGCAAUACACCAGUGGCGGACGGGUGAGUAAUGUAUCGCUAACGUGCCCUAGAGCCAGGGAUAGCUGUCCGAAAGGGCAGGUAAUACCUGAUGAAAUAACCGUGUCGCAUGACGUGGUUCUCAAAGCAGCAAUGCAC